rnacentral:rRNA from 1 species
GAUGAACGCUCGCGGGAGGCCUAACACAUGCAAGCCGAGCGGUAGAGUUUCUUCGGAAACUUGAGAGCGGCGCACGGGUGCGUAACACGUGUGCAACCUACCUUUAUCUGGGGGAUAGCCUUUCGAAAGGAAGAUUAAUACCCCAUAAUAUAAUGAUUGGCAUCAAUUAUUAUUGAAAACUCCGGUGGAUAGAGAUGGGCACGCGCAAGAUUAGAUAGUUGGUGAGGUAACGGCUCACCAAGUCAAUGAUCUUUAGGGGUCCUGAGAGGGAGAUCCCCCACACUGGUACUGAGACACGGACCAGACUCCUACGGGAGGCAGCAGUGAGGAAUAUUGGACAAUGGGUGAGAGCCUGAUCCAGCCAUCCCGCGUGAAGGAUGACGGUCCUAUGGAUGGUAAACUUCUUUUGUACAGGGAUAAACCUACCCUCGUGAGGGUAGCUGAAGGUACUGUACGAAUAAGCACCGGCUAACUCCGUG